UGGUGGAGUGAUUUGUCUGGUUAAUUUCGUUAACGAACGAGACCUCCGCCUGCUAAAUAGUGACGCUUUUGCUUGCAAAUGCGGUUAUAUCUUCUUAGAGGGACACUCGGUGUUUAGCCGAGGGAAGUUGGAGGCAAUAACA
rnacentral:rRNA from 1 species